AGGUCGAGGCGACGGUGGUGACAG
rnacentral:siRNA from 1 species